CUCAAAAUUUCUUUUAGUUUAAAAAUUUUUCGGAGAGUUAAGUCGCGUGGUUAAGGGAAAGUGAAAUGGGGCAAGGCCAUAUAAAGGUUAUGUUUUUUAAAGCAAAGAAAAGUUAAAGUGCAAGUCGGAAGCAAGCGCAAUGAACGGAUUAAAAAUGUGAAAAACACGUGGCGCAGCCAUCUCGUGAGAGAGAGAGACAGCCGCCAUUGCCCUCCAUGAGACAUCUCGUGAGAGAGAGAGAGAGAGAGAAAGACAGCCGGCAUUGCCCUCCAUAGGUCUGCAUAUUGACAAGCCGCCAUCUUUGUGGAUAUCUCUGGGGAAAAUGUGAUCUAGGUUUGCAUAUUGACAAGCCGCCAUCUUUGUGAAUAACUCUGGGGAAAAAUGUGAUCUAGAAUUUGUGGGGCUCGAGAAACUUCUUCGAUUGCAAUUUCUUCGGCAUUAGAUUAUAACAUGGUGCUAGAAGAAUACAAUUACAAAAGAAUUAAUCCGGCAUUAUAAUGUUUUGACAAGACUUGAUUGGAACUGGUACUAAAUUGGUCUUUUAAAGGCAACCAAGACUGCUCUGCUGAUUACUUUAUCGUGCGAGUUCUUAUUGUACAGCGAGUCUGUUUUCUAAGCUCUAACUUGGAUCGACAUUUUAUAUCAAGCUCCUUUAUAUUUGUGAUGAAUGGAUGUGCAAUCAAAAGUCUUUUCUGUGGAAUUCUUUAAUAGCGGAAAAGGAGCCCUCCAAUAAUAAAGAUCUUUCUGUGGAAUACUUUAAUGGCGGCAAGGUAUUCCUGCAAUUAUAAAGAAAUCCAAAAGUCGGUGAAUACUGGGUUUUUGAAGCUUAUAACUCUGAAUAUCUAGAUUGCUGUUGGAAAACCAUUUGAUCGAGAUCUUCGAUGUGGUCCCGAUUUAAGUGAAAAAGGUUGUAUUGUAAAUCUGUAUAACUGAAAACCACACUGUCCAUAUAAAAAAAAUAAAAUAAAAAGAUGAAAGUAAA